rnacentral:rRNA from 1 species
GAUGAACGCUGGCGGCGUGCCUAAUACAUGCAAGUCGAGCGAACGGACGAGAAGCUUGCUUCUCUGAUGUUAGCGGCGGACGGGUGAGUAACACGUGGAUAACCUACCUAUAAGACUGGGAUAACUUCGGGAAAUCGGAGCUAAUACCGGAUAAUAUUUUGAACCGCAUGGUUCAAAAGUGAAAGACGGUCUUGCUGUCACUUAUAGAUGGAUCCGCGCUGCAUUAGCUAGUUGGUAAGGUAACGGCUUACCAAGGCAACGAUGCAUAGCCGACCUGAGAGGGUGAUCGGCCACACUGGAACUGAGACACGGUCCAGACUCCUACGGGAGGCAGCAGUAGGGAAUCUUCCGCAAUGGGCGAAAGCCUGACGGAGCAACGCCGCGUGAGUGAUGAAGGUCUUCGGAUCGUAAAACUCUGUUAUUAGGGAAGAACAUAUGUGUAAGUAACUGUGCACAUCUUGACGGUACCUAAUCAGAAAGCCACGGCUAACUACGU